rnacentral:lncRNA from 1 species
CACGCGUUACUUCUUCCACGUCCAACAGAGGAGAAUGGAAUUUAUGUGCUGAUUUCAUUUGGCUUUCAUUUUAUUUUCCUUAAUUUUUGCAUCCGCAUGUUUUCUUUUAUUUUAUAGUUACAAGAGGUGAUACAUUUGCUUCCGAGAGAUUUCACGGUGCCAUACUUCUUCUAUGAAAAACGUUGGUUCCUUGCAAGAAGCUG